rnacentral:rRNA from 1 species
UGCGUAGGCGGCUUGGAAAGUUGGAUGUGAAAUCCCUCGGCUCAACCGAGGAAUUGCGCUCAAUACUGCCAAGCUAGAGGGAGACAGAGGUAAGCGGAACUUAGGGUGGAGCGGUGAAAUGCGUUGAUAUCCUAAGGAACACCAGUGGCGAAGGCGGCUUACUGGGUCUCUUCUGACGCUGAGGCACGAAAGCUGGGGGAGCGAACAGGAUUAGAUACCCUGGUAGUCC